rnacentral:piRNA from 1 species
AUGGGAACCCUCUGACAGAUGACG